UACAGAGGUCUCAAGCGUUGUUCGGAUUCAUUGGGCGUAAAGGGUGCGUAGGCGGCGAGGCAAGUCUGGUGUGAAAUCCCGGGGCUCAACCCCGGAACUGCACUGGAUACUGCUUUGCUAGAGUACUGGAGAGGGAACUGGAAUUUACGGUGUAGCAGUGAAAUGCGUAGAUAUCGUAAGGAAGACCAGCGGCGAAGGCGAGUUCCUGGACAGUUACUGACGCUGAGCACGAAGGCCAGGGGAGCAAACGGG
rnacentral:rRNA from 1 species